UACAAACAAACAACAUGUGAUAAAAAGAUCCGGGAAUCGGUUGGCGAUUUUGCAAUUACUUUGUAUAUAAGAACGAAUGUAACUGGAAAUUAGCUAAUUUCAAAAACAUACAACAUGAGGAGGUGUAUCAUACUUUUGUUAAUCGUGUGCCUUGUUGCGUCGUCAAGCGCAGGUUUUGGCGGCACAGCCGACGAAGGGGAGAUUUGUGGAGGAUUUGCCGCAGUCAGAUGUAGAAGUGGGCUGACGUGUGUUUAUUCAAUGGGGACAGCUGGAAUUUGUCGGAGACGAAGUUGGCCGUGGAGUAUGUAGAGUGAAUAGGUUCAUUGGCGACAGAUGCCUUGUACCCCUCACCACAUUGUGUGAUACGUUUCCUAAAUUGAGUGUACUAAAAUAUUAAUUUAUUUUAAUAAAUAUUUUCUUAUCGAUAAAAGUGUGUUGCAUUGUCCUUA